GUAUAGGUUUAAUGACUGCGACUAGCACAAUCGUUAAAAGACAUUCUGUAACUUUAUAGUGUAUAUGAAAACAUAGCCUUGAAGAAAGCAAGCAGAGGCAGAUUGUACCAUGCCCCCAAACCGCAUUGCUGCGAAAAGGUUUACUUCUUCAAAGACUACAAAAGGUGCACAAGAGAAGAUAAAUAGAAGGGAACGAGCACAUGCUCAGUGAAGAGCCAGCAUCAGAAACCCAACGUAUUCAAUAAUGAUCCUUCCGCAGGUUCACCUACGGAAA
rnacentral:misc_RNA from 1 species